rnacentral:rRNA from 1 species
UACGGGGGGGGGCAAGCGUUGUUCGGAAUUACUGGGCGUAAAGGGCUCGUAGGCGGCCAACUAAGUCAGACGUGAAAUCCCUCGGCUUAACCGGGGAACUGCGUCUGAUACUGGAUGGCUUGAGUUUGGGAGAGGGAUGCGGAAUUCCAGGUGUAGCGGUGAAAUGCGUAGAUAUCUGGAGGAACACCGGUGGCGAAGGCGGCGUCCUGGACCAACACUGACACUGAGGAGCGAAAGCCAGGGGAGCAAACGGG